rnacentral:rRNA from 1 species
UACGGGGGGGGCAAGCGUUGUUCGGAAUUACUGGGCGUAAAGGGCUCGUAGGCGGCCAACUAAGUCAGACGUGAAAUCCCCAGGCUCAACCUGGGAACUGCGUCUGAUACUGGAUGGCUUGAAUCCGGGAGAGGGAUGCAGAAUUCCAGGUGUAGCGGUGAAAUGCGUAGAUAUCUGGAGGAAUACCGGUGGCGAAGGCGGCAUCCUGGACCGGCAUUGACGCUGAGAGGCGAAAGCAUGGGGAGCGAACAGG